rnacentral:rRNA from 1 species
UACGAAGGGGGCUAGCGUUGUUCGGAAUCACUGGGCGUAAAGCGCACGUAGGCGGAUUGUUAAGUCGGGGGUGAAAUCCUGAGGCUCAACCUCAGAACUGCCUCCGAUACUGGCAAUCUCGAGUUCGGAAGAGGUUGGUGGAACAGCUAGUGUAGAGGUGAAAUUCGUAGAUAUUAGCUAGAACACCAGUGGCGAAGGCGGCGAACUGGUCCGAUACUGACGCUGAGGUGCGAAAGCGUGGGGAGCAAACAGG